UCGAGCGAGUCUGCCUUGAAGAUCGGAGUGCUUGCACUCUGUGAAACAAGAUACAGGCUAGCGGCGGACGGGUGAGUAACACGUGGGUAACCUGCCCAAGAGAUCGGGAUAACACCUGGAAACAGAUGCUAAUACCGGAUAACAACAGAUGAUGCCUAUCAACUGUUUAAAAGAUGGUUCUGCUAUCACUCUUGGAUGGACCUGCGGUGCAUUAGCUAGUUGGUAGGGUAACGGCCUACCAAGGCGAUGAUGCAUAGCCGAGUUGAGAGACUGAUCGGCCACAUUGGGACUGAGACACGGCCCAAACUCCUACGGGAGGCAGCAGUAGGGAAUCUUCCACAAUGGACGCAAGUCUGAUGGAGCAACGCCGCGUGAGUGAAGAAGGGUUUCGGCUCGUAAAGCUCUGUUGUUGGUGAAGAAGGACAGGGGUAGUAACUGACCUUUGUUUGACGGUAAUCAAUUAGAAAGUCACGGCUAACUACGUGCCAGCAGCCGCGGUAAUACGUAGGUGGCAAGCGUUGUCCGGAUUUAUUGGGCGUAAAGCGAGUGCAGGCGGUUCGAUAAGUCUGAUGUGAAAGCCUUCGGCUCAACCGGAGAAUUGCAUCAGAAACUGUCGAGCUUGAGUACAGAAGAGGAGAGUGGAACUCCAUGUGUAGCGGUGAAAUGCGUAGAUAUAUGGAAGAACACCGGUGGCGAAGGCGGCUCUCUGGUCUGUUACUGACGCUGAGGCUCGAAAGCAUGGGUAGCGAACAGGAUUAGAUACCCUGGUAGUCCAUGCCGUAAACGAU
rnacentral:rRNA from 1 species